UACGGAGGUGGCAAGCGUUGCUCGGAAUCACUGGGCGUAAAGGGCGCGUAGGCGGGGAGGUAAGUCGGGUGUGAAAUCCCUCGGCUCAACCGAGGAACUGCGCCCGAGACUGCUUCUCUUGAGUCCCGGAGAGGAAGGUGGAAUUCCCGGUGUAGCGGUGAAAUGUGUAGAGAUCGGGAGGAACACCGGUGGCGAAGGCGGCCUUCUGGACGGUGACUGACGCUGAGGCGCGAAAGCGUGGGGAGCAAACGGG
rnacentral:rRNA from 1 species